rnacentral:rRNA from 1 species
CAGGUAGAUAGGUCAGAGGUGGAAGUGUGGCGACACAUGGAGCUGACUGAUACUAAUCGAUCGAGGACUUAACCAAA